rnacentral:rRNA from 1 species
GAAAGGCCCGCAAGGGUCGCCAGAGGACGGGUCCGCGUCCCAUCAGCUACGGUUGGUGAGGUAAUGGCUCACCAAGGCGAAGACGGGUAGCUGGUCUGAGAGGAUGAUCAGCCACACUGGAACUGAGACACGGUCCAGACUCCUACGGGAGGCAGCAGUGGGGAAUAUUGCGCAAUGGGCGAAAGCCUGUACGCAGCCACGCCGCGUGAGCGAUGAAGGUCUUCGGAUCGUAAAGCUCUGUGGGGGGAGAAGAAGAAAGUCGGUGAAGAGCCGGCCCCUGACGGUAUCCCCUUAGCAAGCACCGGCUAACUCCGUGCCAGCAGCCGCGGUAAUACGGAGGGUGCAAACGUUGCUCGGAAUCAUUGGGCGUAAAGCGCGCGUAGGCGGCUGAACAAGUUGGAUGUGAAAGCCCUGGGCUCAACCUAGGAUGUGCAUUCAAAACUGUUCGGCUUGAGUCUCGGAGGGGGUCAGAGAAUUCUACGGUGUAGAGGUGAAAUUCGUAGAUAUCGG